rnacentral:rRNA from 1 species
UACAGGGGGUGCAAACGUUGCUCGGAAUCAUUGGGCGUAAAGCGCACGUAGGCGGACCGUUAAGUCGGGGGUGAAAUCCCAGGGCUCAACCCUGGAACUGCCUUCGGUACUGGCGGUCUGGAGUCCGGGAGAGGUGAGUGGAACUCCUAGUGUAGAGGUGAAAUUCGUAGAUAUUAGGAAGAACACCAGUGGCGAAGGCGGCUCACUGGCCCGGUACUGACGCUGAGGUACGAAAGCGUGGGGAGCAAACAGG